rnacentral:rRNA from 1 species
UUAGAGUUUGAUCCUGGCUCAGGAUGAACGCUGGCGGUAUGCUUUACACAUGCAAGUCGUACGGGAGUUUUUAACUCUAGUGGCGGACGGGUGAGUAACACGUAAGAAUUUGCCUUUAGGAGGGGGAUAACAACUGGAAACGGUUGCUAAUACCCCAUAUGCUUUCGAGUGAAACGGUUUUUCCGCCUAAAGAGAAGCUUGCGGCUGAUUAGCUUGUUGGUGGGGUAAUGGCUCACCAAGGCGACGAUCAGUAUCUGGUUUGAGAGGACGAUCAGACACACUGGAACUGAGACACGGUCCAGACUCCUACGGGAGGCAGCAGUGGGGAAUUUUCCGCAAUGGGCGAAAGCCUGACGGAGCAAUACCGCGUGAGGGAUGAAUGCCAAUGGGUUGUAAACCUCUUUUUUCAAGGAGGAAUAAAAUGACGUGUACUUGAAGAAUAAGCAUCGGCUAACCCCGUGCCAGCAGCCGCGGUAAGACGGGGGAUGCAAGUGUUAUCCGGAAUCACUGGGCGUAAAGCGUCUGUAGGUGGUUAAAUAAGUCAACUGUUAAAUCUUGAGGCUCAACCUCAAAUCGCAGUCGAAACUGUUUGACUAGAGUAUAGUAGGGGUAAAGGGAAUUUCCAGUGGAGCGGUGAAAUGCGUAGAGAUUGGAAAGAACACCAAUGGCGAGGGCACUUUACUGGGCUAUUACUAACACUGAGAGACGAAAGCUAGGGUAGCAAAUGGGAUUAGAUACCCUGGUAGAAUCACUAGUGAAUUC